AAUAGAUACCCAGGUAGUCCACGCCGUAAACGAUGAGUGCUAAGUGUUGGGGGGUUUCCGCCCCUCAGUGCUGCAGCUAACGCAUUAAGCACUCCGCCUGGGGAGUACGGUCGCAAGACUGAAACUCAAAGGAAUUGACGGGGGCCCGCACAAGCGGUGGAGCAUGUGGUUUAAUUCGAAGCAACGCGAAGAACCUUACCAGGUCUUGACAUCCCGGUGACCACUAUGGAGACAUAGUUUCCCCUUCGGGGGCAACGGUGACAGGUGGUGCAUGGUUGUCGUCAGCUCGUGUCGUGAGAUGUUGGGUUAAGUCCCGCAACGAGCGCAACCCUUAUUCUUAGUUGCCAUCAUUCAGUUGGGCACUCUAAGGAGACUGCCGGUGAUAAACCGGAGGAAGGUGGGGAUGACGUCAAAUCAUCAUGCCCCUUAUGACCUGGGCUACACACGUGCUACAAUGGACGGUACAAACGGUUGCCAACCCGCGAGGGGGAGCUAAUCCGAUAAAACCGUUCUCAGUUCGGAUUGUAGGCUGCAACUCGCCUACAU
rnacentral:rRNA from 1 species